CUUGCUUCUCUUGAGAGCGGCGGACGGGUGAGUAAUGCCUAGGAAUCUGCCUGGUAGUGGGGGAUAACGUCCGGAAACGGACGCUAAUACCGCAUACGUCCUACGGGAGAAAGCAGGGGACCUUCGGGCCUUGCGCUAUCAGAUGAGCCUAGGUCGGAUUAGCUAGUUGGUGGGGUAAUGGCUCACCAAGGCGACGAUCCGUAACUGGUCUGAGAGGAUGAUCAGUCACACUGGAACUGAGACACGGUCCAGACUCCUACGGGAGGCAGCAGUGGGGAAUAUUGGACAAUGGGCGAAAGCCUGAUCCAGCCAUGCCGCGUGUGUGAAGAAGGUCUUCGGAUUGUAAAGCACUUUAAGUUGGGAGGAAGGGCAGUAAAUUAAUACUUUGCUGUUUUGACGUUACCGACAGAAUAAGCACCGGCUAACUCUGUGCCAGCAGCCGCGGUAAUACAGAGGGUGCAAGCGUUAAUCGGAAUUACUGGGCGUAAAGCGCGCGUAGGUGGUUCGUUAAGUUGGAUGUGAAAUCCCCGGGCUCAACCUGGGAACUGCAUUCAAAACUGACGAGCUAGAGUAUGGUAGAGGGUGGUGGAAUUUCCUGUGUAGCGGUGAAAUGCGUAGAUAUAGGAAGGAACACCAGUGGCGAAAGCGACCACCUGGACUGAUACUGACACUGAGGUGCGAAGCGUGGGGAGCAAACAGAUUAGAUACCCUGGUAUCCACGCCGUAACCAUGUCAACUACCCGUUGG
rnacentral:rRNA from 1 species